rnacentral:rRNA from 1 species
UACAGAGGUCUCAAGCGUUGUUCGGAUUCAUUGGGCGUAAAGGGUGCGUAGGCGGCGCGGUAAGUCGGGUGUGAAAUCUUGGAGCUUAACUCCGAAACUGCAUUCGAUACUGCCGUGCUUGAGGACUGGAGAGGAGACUGGAAUUUACGGUGUAGCAGUGAAAUGCGUAGAUAUCGUAAGGAAGACCAGUGGCGAAGGCGGGUCUCUGGACAGUUCCUGACGCUGAGGCACGAAGGCCAGGGGAGCGAACGGG